rnacentral:snoRNA from 1 species
GGGAGGUGAUGAGCUCUAUUAGCCUGACCUUGCAGAGUGGAGGCAAAAAAACUGAUUUAAUGAGCUGAUCC